rnacentral:pre_miRNA from 1 species
CUCAGCAGGGAGGUCCCUUCAGCCUGGAUUGCGAGAGGGUGCAGGCCAGGCCGAGGGACCUCACGGGUGCA